CCUACGGGUGGCAGCAGUGGGGAAUAUUGCGCAAUGGGCGAAAGCCUGACGCAGCGACGCCGCGUGAGGGAUGAAGGUCUUCGGAUCGUAAACCUCUGUCAGCAGGGAAGAACGGUCACUGUGCUAAUCAGCAGUGAAUUGACGGUACCUGCAAAGGAAGCACCGGCUAACUCCGUGCCAGCAGCCGCGGUAAUACGGAGGGUGCGAGCGUUAAUCGGAUUUACUGGGCGUAAAGCGCGCGUAGGCGGUAUGUCAAGUCAAGGGUGAAAUCCCCGCGCUCAACGUGGGAACUGCCUUUGAAACUGGUAAACUAGAGUGUAGGGGCGGUUGGUGGAAUGCAAGGUGUAGGGGUGAAAUCCGUAGAUAUCAUACAGAACAUCGAUGGCGAAGGCGGCUAAC
rnacentral:rRNA from 1 species